ACACGGAGGGCGCAAGCGUUGCUCGGAAUCACUGGGCGUAAAGCGGGUGUAGGCGGUCUAGCAAGUCAGAUGUGAAAGCCCACGGCUCAACCGUGGAAGUGCAUCUGAAACUGCUAGACUUGAGUGCCGGAGAGGGAAGUGGAAUUCCUGGUGUAGGGGUGAAAUCCGUAGAUAUCAGGAGGAACACCGGUGGCGAAGGCGACUUCCUGGACGGCCACUGACGCUGAGACCCGAAAGCGUGGGGAGCAAACAGGAUUAGAAACCCGAGUAGUCC
rnacentral:rRNA from 1 species